GCCUGGAAUUAUUAUUAUUUUAAUUGUAUUUGAUCAGCAAACACAGAAUUACCCUUAUCCUCUUUUGGAAUCUGAUCCGGUAUAGUAAUUGUCUUCAUUUUGGUUCGGCAUGCAUGUUUUUCAAUGUUGUUUUUGUCAGUCAGAUACGAUUUUACUCGGAUUUACACAUUACUUGUCGGCUAUUUUCGGUAUAAAGCUAAUGGUUAAACAAAAU
rnacentral:lncRNA from 1 species